rnacentral:hammerhead_ribozyme from 1 species
AUCCAGCUGACGAGUCCCGAAUAGGACGAAAUGUGCAUCCUCGAU